GAUGAACGCUGGCGGCGCGCCUAACACAUGCAAGUCGAACGGUUAAAGCACCUUUUAGGUGUGUAUAAAGUGGCGAACGGCUGAGUAACACGUGGGCAACCUGCCCUCCUCUUGGGGAUAGCCUCGGGAAACCGAGGAUAAUACCCGAUACUUCAAUGUGGCCGCAUGACGACAUUGAGAAAGCUUUUGCGGAGAAGGAUGGGCCCGCGGCCUGUUAGCUUGUUGGUGGGGUAGAGGCCUACCAAGGCAAUGAUGGCUAGCUGGGUUGAGAGACCGACCAGCCAGAUUGGGACUGAGACACGGCCCAGACUCCUACGGGAGGCAGCAGUGGGGAAUCUUGCACAAUGGGCGAAAGCCUGAUGCAGCGACGCCGCGUGCGGGACGAAGGCCUUCGGGUUGUAAACCGCUUUCAGCAGGGACGAGGCGAUAAGUGACGGUACCUGCAGAAGAAGCCCCGGCUAACUACGUG
rnacentral:rRNA from 1 species